rnacentral:rRNA from 1 species
UGAGGAAUCUUCCACAAUGGACGAAAGUCUGAUGGAGCAACUCCGCGUGCAGGACGAAGGCCUUCGGGUUGUAAACUGCUUUUAUAAGUGAAAAAUAUGAUUGUAACUUAUGAAUAAGGGUCGGCUAACUACGUGCCAGCAGCCGCGGUCAUACGUAGGACCCAAGCGUUAUCCGGAGUGACUGGGCGUAAAGAGUUGCGUAGGUGGUUAGUAAAGCGAAUAGUGAAACCUGGUGGCUCAACCAUACAGACUAUUGUUCGAACUCACUAACUCGAGAGUGGUAGAGGUAACUGGAAUUUCUAGUGUAGGAGUGAAAUCCGUAGAUAUUAGAAGGAACACCAAUGGCGUAGGCAGGUUACUGGACCAUUUCUGACACUAAUGCACGAAAGCGUGGGGAGCGAACCGGAUUAGAUACCCGGGUAGUCC